rnacentral:rRNA from 1 species
AUUGAACGCUGGCGGCAGGCCUAACACAUGCAAGUCGAGCGAGCGGCGGACGGGUGAGUAAGGUAUGGGGAUCUGCCCGAUGGAGGGGGAUAACUACUGGGAACGGUGGCUAAUACCGCAUAAUAUCGGAGGACCCCAUAUGGGAUUAGCUAGUAGGUGGGGUAAAGGCUCACCUAGGCGACGAUCUCUAGCUGGUCUGAGAGGAUGAUCAGCCACACUGGGAUUGAUACACGGCCCAGCCUCCUACGGGAGGCAGCAGUGGGGAAUAUUGCACCAUGGGCGCAAGCCUGAUGCAGCCAUGCCGCGUGUAUGAAGCAGGCCUUAGGGUUGUAAAGUACUUUCAGCGGGGAGGCGUUACCCGCAGAAGAAGCACCGGCUAACUCCGUGCCAGCCGCCGCGGUAAUUC